CUUUUUACGGUUCAUCUGUUAGCUAUUCUGAUUGAUUUGAUUGGUUGUGCGAACAUAUGCAUAUGGUUGCUUAGAUAACUCUCAAAUGAAGCUGGACAUUGCCAGCGUUGCUGACUCCUGGGUCUUCACUUAAGUACUUUGAAGUUUUUAUUUGUCCUGAGGUUUUCAACUGCUUUAUCCAAAAAUAGUGGUGACUCGUGGGGUUUAGCUUCUAAUCAUUACUUGUGCCACAGGUUAGGUUUCUCACAAAAAUAUACCAUCCCAAUAUUGAAAAGCAUUCAAGCUUUUUUUGAGCGCUCCAAACCCCAAUGAUCCGCUAUCUGAGAAUAUCGCUAAGCAUUGGAAUACAAAUGAGGCUGAAGUUGUGGAAACAGUUUCUAUGUCUUUUGUGGUUUUACGGGGUCUCUGUAGCUGGUUCUCCAAUCAUGUAGUACUUUGAAUGAUUGAGAUUCAGGUGACAAAUUUUUAUUAG